ensembl:lncRNA
AUGAGUCCGGUGGAGGGACCUCAACUGCCGGGGGCCUCAAACAUCACAGGGGUGUGAGGGUCCCGUAAGUUUACCCUUAGCCAGGAGGGAAAGCCCCAAGUCAGGGCCAUCCUGUGGGCUCACACGGAGCUUCCGUUUCCUGGUUGUCCUUCUCUUGCCAGCCAAGGCCCCUGUGAGCCCAUCCUUCCUGUUUCCAUCCAUAAUCACUCCCCGGGGGAGAGGAGAAAUAAAACAAGUCACACACACAGCUGGUCCCGUGGAGCUUCAGUUUGGACUGGAAGAAGUGCUGAGCGUCAGCAGGAAGAUCUAGUCCAGACAAUUUGUUGGGAACGUUCUUUCAAGACUGGACUAUCAACAAUUUAAAGUAAUCAAACAAAAUAAGAAGUCAAAACCGCAGAACAAAAUAAGCACAUUUUCUUCUUUAAAAAAAAGAUGCAAUUAUCUCUCUGCUUUAGGAACCUUCGAGUUUGCAUGUAGGUUCCUGCAUCCCCUCCUUGCCUCCCGCACACGGAACCUAACCCCGCAGCAGGGCACACUGCCCUCAUUGCCAGCCUGAGGAACAACCACUGCACUGCACACACCACUGAGGCUGUCCCCUUGCCCUGCCUCAGCACCCUCUGCUAUGUGGUGGGGAUAUUUCACACACAUAUCAUCAGGAAAAUAGUAAAGAAGCCAGUUUGACUGUAGAAAAUCGUAAAACUCAAAGUGUUUGAUUCCUCUCAACAAUUAACUGGUUAAUGAAUAGAGAUGCUUGAAUUGAAACCAAGAAUUGGCAUUCAUCAGGAUAAGCAUGUAAGUAACUAACAUUUCAGUUUGAGUUAAUGACAGCACUUUCCUGGGUGGUAGUCAGAAGCAGUUAAACUCUUGAACCAAACUUUUAACUGGCUUUGCAAAGCUUUUCAUUUGUAGCACUGAAGAGUUCUUUGCCUUGAAUUUGACCGUAAACAUGAAUGACUAUCACAGAACAGCAGAAAAGCUGCUUGGAGGAUACCUUUGGAUACCAUCUAGUCUAGUUUCCAUCUUUAUGUGUGCUUACUGCAAACAACCGGUCAGGUCAGCAGUGGCUUUUCCUGGUCAUGUCAUGAAAUCCUGCAAGGUUGGAGAUUUCACUACAUCCAAGUAAUAGGUUUCCAUGUUGUACCAAAUUCCUAGUAAAACACUUUUCCUAAUAUCCAGUGUGAACCUGCCAGGCCUUAAUUUGCAGCUGUUGUCUUGGGGUAUACUGUUUGGCACAACUGUGCAUCUCUGUUCUUUAGCUCCCCAUCAGCAGGUGUGGAUGCUAUGAGACUGCCUUCAGCCUCCUUUUUGCUGGGCUACACCAGCCCAGUACCCUCUCCAUCCCCAUGUGCUGUUACUCUGCAGCUCUCUGCUGGAUCCAUGCUAGUUUUUCAGCAGCCAUUUUGAAGUGGGAGGCCCCAG